rnacentral:rRNA from 1 species
UACGAAGGGGCUAGCGUUGCUCGGAAUCACUGGGCGUAAAGGGUGCGUAGGCGGGUUUUAAGUCAGGGGUGAAAUCCUGGAGCUCAACUCCAGAACUGCCUUUGAUACUGAAGAUCUUGAGUCCGGGAGAGGUGAGUGGAACUGCGAGUGUAGAGGUGAAAUUCGUAGAUAUUCGCAAGAACACCAGUGGCGAAGGCGGCUCACUGGCCCGGUACUGACGCUGAGGUGCGAAAGCGUGGGGAGCAAACAGGG